AACUGAUGAAAGACUUGAUUAUGUAUAUCUGAAGAAGUGGGCCACAUGAAAUUUGAAAAGGAAAUGAGUUUUUUUGUUUGUUUUUUGGAAGUAAAGGCAAACAUGUAUUAUCUGAUGAAUUCUAGUGAAACGACCCCUUAACUUUGCUUUUAUCAGUACAGAUAUUUACUGUGGAGAACUAGUUUAUAAUGUAACAAAAAUUUACAAUUGAUUAAAAGUGACCAUGCCUUGGAUACAUGCAAAUCUGCAGAGUUGUCAUAUAAUUCUUCCUCUACAAAAAGUAGGUAUAGGAAAGACUGAAUAAAAAUGAAGAGAUAUCCACUUGGAUUCCCCUUGCAUUGUGCAACAAGCAAAGAAGGGUUAAUAAAAGUCCUUGAACAAAAAGUUCAAAUAAACCAGAAUUUUAGACAGCAAGCUAAAUAAAUAUUGUAAAGUUGCACUAUAUUAGGUUUAGUAUUAUUUUGGUAUUAUAAUAUGCUUUGUAAAUGUUAUAUUCCAAAUAUUAUUCAAUAUGUGUCAUCUAUUAAUUUCUAGUAUAAAGAGGUAGCCUCUAUAUCUGUCUUAGUCUAUUAUAAUUGUAAGCAGUAAAAUUAAAUUAAUAAUCUGAAGGUAUAAAUUUGAACAAUGCAUAGAUGAUCGAAAAUUAUGGAAAGUCACAGGGCAGAAAUGUGUGAAGAGUCGUCAUUAUGUAAAACA